GUGUGUGUGUGUGAGACUGGAUCCUCCCCUGGGGAGCCAGGAGCAGCCCAGCCUGAAAAUCAGAUUUUCAGCCGCUUCUGGGUUUGCAGGGAGCCUUUGUGUGUCCCACCACCACCACCACCACCACCACCACCACCUUCUCCCAGGGCUGCCCAGCCCUGAAAGCUGCAGACAAAGGGAGGCAGCGCUGGCACCGCUGCGGCAGCACCACAGCUCUGGGGGUGGCAGCGAGGAAUGGGCAGCGAGGGGGUUUUCUCCCCCCAUAUUUUCAUUGCUGAGUGAGAGAGCAGGUCACCCCACGCAGACACGUCCCUCCUGACCCACCACGGGCACCUCCUGCUCGCAUCCAGGCAGGGAAUCCAUUUGCCAGAUGCUCCAUGGCAUCUCUGCCGCCUGGUCCCCGAGAUGCCUGGUGUGUCCCCCCCCAUCCCCGCCGAGCCUGGCCCCACAGCAGGUGGUUUGCAAAUGCUGCCUGGACACGCUGGUCCCCACGGGAGGCUGCAGGCAACGUGCAGAGACAAUGAGCCGCGGGGAGCGACGGCGGCUCCGCAGCCCCACUGCAGAGUCAUCACGCCCCGGCUCCUCCCAGGUCCCGCUGCCGUUGUGGCUUUUCCAGGAGGGCUGGAUGGCAGCGCGGGAUGGCGCCGGCCGCCCCUGCCCGCAGCCCUGCAGAGGUGGAGCAGCACCCGCCGCAGCGUGGCUGGCACCACCGGACACCCCGCUACGGCCUGCGGCAUGGGCAGGAGCCAAGUGACCCCGUUUAACCACAGGGAAGGGGCAGAGGUGGCAGUGGCCGUGACAGCGGCAGGGGCUGUGGCAGUAGAAUUGGCAGAGGCAGUGACAGCAGAGGCAGUGGCAGUGACAGUGACAGUGACAGUGGCAGUGGCAGAGACAGUGGCGGUAGAAUUGGCAGUGCCAGUGGCAGUGGCAAUGGCAGUGACAGUGACAGUGGUAGUGGCAGUGACAGUGACAGUAGCAGAGGCAGUGACAGUGACAGAGGCAGUAACAGAGGCACUGACAGUGGCAGAGGCAGUGGC
rnacentral:lncRNA from 1 species